rnacentral:sRNA from 21 species
GUGGGACGGGGAUGCUCGACCGGUGACCGUGCCGGAUAAACUGGCCGAGGAACCGCACCGAGCGCAGCUCUCGAGCGGUCCCAACCAUGAUCAGCCAGCAGCCGCUGCAACCCCAGGGAG